rnacentral:snoRNA from 2 species
CUUGCCACCACUGGGGCCUGUGAGUGGCCCAUCUGUGACCCAGUCACCUCAGGAGUUGGCAAAAAGAAGAGGGAUACCUGAGCAAAAAUUACUCCAGUCCCACCAC